UGGCUCAAUUGGUAGAGAAUGGUGCUUGCAAUGCCAAGGUUGUGGGUUUGAUUCCCAU
rfam:Salmo salar isolate Sally breed double haploid chromosome ssa22, whole genome shotgun sequence.